CUUGUUCGUCCCGUACUCAGCCUUGUCUCAGGUUAGUAAGUUGGUGGUUGAAUAUAUCCCUCUAGUGGUGUGGGGGCUGUGCUUUGGCAAGUGGGUGGGGUUAUAUCCUGCCUAUUUGGCCCUGUCUGGGGGUAUCAUCGGAUGGGGCCACAGUGUCUUCCGACCCCUCCUGUCUCAGCCUCCAGUAUUUAUGCUGAAAUAGUUUACGUGUCGGGGGGCUAGGGUCAGUCUGUUAUAUGUGGAGUAUUUAUCUUGUCUUAUCCGGUGUCCUGUGUGAAUUUAAGUAUGCUCCCUCUAAUUCUCUCUCUCUCCCUCUCCAUCCCCUCCCGGAGGACCUGAGCCUGGGACCAUGCCUCAGGACUACCUGGCCUGAUGUCUCUAACUCUGAAUGCUCGGCUAUGAAAAGCCAACUGAUAUUUACUCCUGAGCCUCCUGAGGGGGAAGAAGCGUUGUUGUGCCCUCUUCACGGUGUGUUUGGACCAUGAUAGUUCCUUAGUGAUGUCGACACCGAGGAACUUGAAGCUCUUGACCUGCUCCACUACAGCCUCGUCGGUGUGAAUGGGGGUGUGCUCGGCCAUCCGUUUCCUGUAGUCCACAAUCAGCUCCUUUGUCUUGCUGACGUUGAGGGAGAGGUUGUUGUCCUGACACCACACUGCCAGGUUUCUGACCUCCUCGAUAUAGGCUGUCUCAUCGUCGUCAGUGAUCAGGCCUACCACCAUCGUGUCAUCUGCAUACCUAAUCUCAUUAGCCACUCUGGGUUCAUCCUGUCGUUAUCUGCACAUGGGUUGUCGUCUUAACCCCACCCUGGCUUAGUUUCCCAGAUGCAAGGAUGAUUUAGAGACAAUGAGGAAUUUUUCUAAACUCCUCCUGGCUAUCUCUAUCACACCCACCACAUCUUGUCUAUGUAAUGCAGUCUUUAACUCAUUUGUCAGCUCAAGCCAUCUCUAGUGACCAUAUGCCCAGAUAAGCUGCAGGGAACUAGACUGGAGACCAUAAAAACACAAACACUAACAGGACAGAAAUAUCCUCCUACUUGUUAAGUAUUAAUUGCUAACUAUUAAUCUCAAACAAAUUAGGUAAAUGUGUAAUUUUUCUAUCACAGGUGGCUAGUCAGAGUAGUGCAGAAGGUGUCACAUGCUGAGG
rnacentral:lncRNA from 1 species